GCAGGAAAAUUGCACAUUACUAUCUAUUAGUAAUCUAUUAUUAUGUCAACAGGUAAUUGUUUGUUUCUACAAGAGCUCAUAAGCUGUGACUUUUUGUUUUAUGGUGUAUGUGUUUGUUAAAGAUAAUAAGCCUAAUAACCAAAUAAUGGUUUUAGUGCCCCUCUUCCAGGACCUUCAGGUAGCAGCUGAGUAUGUGCUCUAGUACAUUCACUUUGCUGGCACAACUUGCAUGCUGGUGUUUCCAGAAGUGGUUGGAUGGACGUGAGAAGACAUUGUACAUUGAACAGAUUAGGAACUAGGCCUGUCAGAGGGUCACAUGCUAUUCUUGUCCAUCCCAUGCUCCCAUCUUGUCCAUGUGCCUUGACUGCGAAGAGUGUGACCUUGUUCACCAGCAGGGACCACCGGACACUUGGUAGUAAAUCCAAGCUUUGAACUUCCCUGCCACCACUGGCCAUGGCUCCAACUCCUGUUGGGUGGCUGCAGUGUCCUUCAGUGAGCAAUUGUAGGUUAUCCUCAGGCUCUUAAUUGGUUUCUCAGAGAUGGGGAUUGGGUUCCCAUGCACAGAGAAAAGGAAUUUGUUUCAGACUUCUCUGAAUUACAUCCAUUCCCUGGUCAUGAGCCAUCUUAGACCCUGGAGAAUCCAUAUGCACUUGUGUAAUGAUGAUGUUGUUACAGUCAAAUCAUACAUGAAGUCUUUUAUGGGCAUUGUCAAAUGCCAUACUUGGUGAUGGGUCCUCUGCAUUUCACAUCUGCUGAUUUGACCAGCAUGGUCAUGGCCAGGGCAAAAAGUGGUGAAGCCAGUGGUAAUCCCUUUCUCAAAAUGAUCCCAGUCAGAAGUGGUAAUCCCAGUGGCACGUGUAAGCCAGAAUGUGUUGUAACAGUCCAGGAUACGGCUCCUGAAUUAUGCAGUUCCAACAACAAUGCCACCAUCUUAUGAGGUAUGGAACCAUAGGCAUUGGAAAUGUCCAGACAUGCCACAGCCAGCCCCCCCGUGUUUACUUCAAUUCUUCAAUAUAUAAAUUUAUAUACAUUUAUAAAAUAUAUUUAUAGAAAUAAAAAAAUAUAUAUCAUUAAAUUAAGAUCUAAUUAUCUACAAUUCAUUCUUUCAUCCAUUCCAGAAAUGGGACUACUUCAAAUAUAACAAUUUUUUGAAAAGUUACCACAAAUGUAUCUGGAAUUGCUGUUUAAUAUAUUGUACUAGGGCAUGAAAUUUGGAUAAAACUUUGGUAAGACAUUGUGUCAUGUCUGUCUAAUUCAAAAUUAUACUGGUGUGCCCCUUAUACAAAUGCCCUUGUACUUCCGAUAUAAGUGAUGUAUUUUUUAUUUUAAUUUGAAUUACAUACUAAUACAUUACAGGUGGAGUGGAUUGAAAAAUGUCAUUGUGUGUGUGUGAGAUUCUCACUUUGGUCUCUCCGUGUUCCCAGCUAGCCAGUGAAGUAAACACUGAUGCACAAGUCUCGGACAGCGAGAUGUACAUCAGGCGGAAUCCCCCUUGCACAGAGUUGCAUCAACCACAGUAUUGCUACAAAUGUUCCAGAGCGACCUAUGCCUGCACUAAAUACCUGCAGUGAACGACUGUGGGGCCUAAGCGUGGAAUAUCAUCCAGCAGCUUCCGCACAUGCUCAGUGAAGUUGCUGAGAGUGGUGUGGUCCUUUGGAACACCCUGAUCAGGCCAGCCAGGGUGGAUGGUGGUGAUGUAGCAGUAUGGACCAUGAUGACGGGACAUGGUGGUGACCUGCAGAGCCCCAUAACAGCCAGUGCC